ACUAUGUACUUUAUAAAUGAGUAUUUUACAGAAGACCAUAGGUACAUAAAACUAACUCCUAUUACAAUAUUUAUACACUAUUGUCUAUGUUCUCUUUUUGUGUUAGCAUUAUUUACUUACAACUUUAUUUUCAUUUUAUUUGAAAGGCAGAGAGACAAGAAAGAUCUUCAUCUAUUGGUUCAACCAUGGCUGGUUAGGCCAAGCACCAGGAACUUAAUCCGGUUCUCCCACAUGGGUGGCAGGAACCCAGCAUCCAACACAAAAAUUGUCUUCAGUCUAUGAAUGAUCAAAUGACGAUGGAAAACCACAAAGACUUUUUUCAUGGACCUUGGAGCUGAGAUGCCUUCUUGUCAAACUUGCAAAUUUCAGGAAACUGGGCCAACUCCAGGCAAUAUAACAAGAUUCACAAUUGUACUAACUUAGACUGAUGAUCUACCUUUAAGAAGUUAGAGAAGUGUUCAGUUGAGGUUGCAACUGCUCAGAGAGUACAUCAAAGGGAAAGACACUCUGUUCUCAGACACACCAGGGCCUCCCUCUUAGCAAUCUGGGAAUGUGCUUCUGAAAGGAGAAAGCACUUUUGCAGCUGAAAAGCUAAGGUGCCAACACAGGCGAACAGAAGUCUCCAGGCCGGCACCGCGGCUCACUAGGCUAAUCCUCCACCUUGCGGCGCCGGCACACCGGGUUCUAGUCCCGGUCGGGGCGCUGGAUUCUGUCCCGGUUGCCCCUCUUCCAGGCCAGCCCUCUGCUGUGGCCAGGGAGUGCAGUGGAGGAUGGCCCAGGUGCUUGGGCCCUGUACUCCAUGGGAGACCAGGAAAAAGCACCUGGCUCCUGGCUCCUGCCAUCGGAUCAGCGCGGUGCGCCGGCCGCAGCGCGCCGGCCGCGGCGGCCAUUGGAAGGUGAACCAACGGCAAAGGAAGACCUUUCUCUCUGUCUCUCUCUCUCACUGUCCACUCUGCCUGUCAAAAAAAAAAAAAAAAAGUCUCCAGAAGCAGUGAGUACUCCCCCCAAACUGAUGAGGGUGCAGCUGCAAGGGCAGAGGAGAACAGGCCUGACGUCACCCCGUGUCCACUCCACAUCCCGCUGCCCGGGCCUAGGUCCUGUGAGGAGGCCUCUGUCUCUGACCUCUGCCGUGAAGAUAUGAGCAAAGUCGCAGUGGCCAAGUGGUCAAGUGUCCUUUCACAGCCAACUGGAGGAGAUGAGGGUUGGGUGAAAAUUAUGUUUGGAAAGGGGUUUUUUAAACUGAGGAUUCUGAAUUAAUAUGACUUGAAACUGCUGAUGACCCUUUGCACCUAUCUAUGGUAGCUGUGAAUGAUGCCCACUCAAUCUCUUUGUAUCCUCUGCUUUUCCUUAUUCUGAGAGCAUGAGGAAAAUUAUCAGAAGCCACAGGAGUUGCCUGUACAUCAAGAACCAUGAAAGGUUUAACCUAAUAGAAUGCAAAAGAAAAGCAAUGAAUUAUCAGGGCAUUUAUUUAAUUUAUAAUCAAAUAUAAGAAGUUUAUGAA